GCCUAUAGAAUAGCCAUUCUUUUAUUCCUUUACUUUCUCAAUAAACUUGCUCUCACUUUACUCUUUUUUUUUUUUUUUUUUUUUUCAUGGAGUCUCGUUCUGUCGCCAGGCGGAGUGCAGUGGCACGAUCUCGGCUCACUUCAAACUCCGCCUCCUGGGUUCAAGCAAUUCUCCUGCCUCAGCCUCCUGAGUAGCUGGAAUUACAGGCAUGCACCACCAUGCCUGGCUAAUUUUUGUAUUUUUAGUAGAGACGGGGUUUCACCAUGUUGGUCAGGCUGGCCUUGAACUCUUGACCUUGUGAUCUGCCUGCCUUGGACCUCCCAAAGUGCUGGGAUUACUGGUGUGAGCGACCAUGCCUGGCACUUUACUCUUUAUGGAUUUGACUCAAAUUCUUUCUUGCAUGAGAUCCAAGAACCAUGAUGUCUGGAUCAAGACCUCUUUCUGAUAACAGUUUGGCUGUGUGUCCCCACCCAAAUCUCAUGUUGAAUUGUAAUUCCCAAUGUUGGGGGAGAGACCUGGUGGCAGGUGAUUGGAUCAUGAAGGUGGAUUUCGUCCUUGCUGUUCUUGUAAUAGUGAAGACCCAGAGAGAAAGCGCCUCCCCCAUGAAGCUGCUGGUCAAAUGCUCGUUCCAUUGGGCACUCACUGUACCAGGAAACCUGCUAGAGCAGCCGAAGAAAGAAAGGUUCAAACUGGUCUCAAAAGUAAGACGGCCUCAACACGGAAGGGAACCUGGACACAGCUGCAACAUGGACGGCCCUGAGGACAUUGAAUAAGCCAGACACAGAAGGACAAAUGCUGUGUGUUAGCACUUACCUGAGGCCCCUAGAGCCUCCGACUCACAGAGAGAGUAGAACAGCAGGGGCCAGGGCUGUGGGAAGGGGAUGGGAAAUGGGUGUUUAAUGGGGAGAGAGUCUCAGUUUGGGAAGAUGAGAAAGCUCUGGAGAGGGACGAUGGUGAUGGGUGAACGAUGUGAAUGUACUUCAUGCACACUUAGCAAUGGUUAAAAUGGUAUAUUUUAUGUUAUAUAAAUUUUACCACAAUUUAAAAAAUAAGACAAAAAAAGCCAGUGUAUCCAUAAUCUGAUUAAUUAUUAGCUCAAGUGUUUUCCCGAGAUAGGUCAGGAAAUCAAAGCCUCUGCUUGUUUCUUCAGGAAGGGCCCCUGGCAGGACCUUGAGAACAGCAAUUGAUCUGCCCCACCCUGGAGAACAGGGGCCGUAAAGUCUUAUCAGGGUCAUCAUGCCACCAACCCUUGCCACCCUCGGAGAACAGGAGCCCGCAAGACGGAGUUUGCUCCAUUACCCAGGCUGCAUUGCAAUGGCGCGAUCCCGGCUCACUGCAACUUCCACCUCCUGUGUUCAAGCGAUGCUCCUGCCUCAGCCUACCUAGUAGCUGAGAUUACAGGCGCCUGCCACCAUGCCCGGCUAAUUUUUGUAUUUUUAGUAGAGAUGGGGUUUCACCAUGUUGGCCAGGCUGGUCUCAAACUCCUGACCUCAAGUGAUCCACCUGCCUCGGCCUCCCAAAGUGCUGCGAUUACAGGCGUGAGCCACCGUGCCCGGCCGACCUUGGAUUCUUAGAUAUAACACCAAAAGCAUGGGCAAUGACAACAACAACAAAAAGAUAAAUUGUACUUCAUCAAAAUUAAAAUCUUUUGUGCAUCAAAGGACACUAUCAAGGGGCUGAAGAGAUCACCACAGAAUGGGAGAAAAUGUUUGCGAAUCAUAUAUCUGGUAAGGAUUCAUAUACGUAAUAUAAAAAGGACUCCUUCAAAUCAACAACCAAAACCCAAACAGCACAAUUUCAAAAUGAGCAAAGGACUUGAAUAGACAUUUCUCAAAAAAAAAAAAAGAUGCGAAUGACUGACAAGCACGUGAAAAGUUGCCCAACCUCGUUAGUCAUUACAAAAAUGCAAAUGAAAAGAACAGUGAGAUACCUUCUUACCUCCACUAGGAUGGCAAUUAUUAUGCAACUAAACAAAACAAACAUGAAGAAAACAAGUGAUGGGAAGCCUCCCAUGUUGCUGGUGGGACGGUAAAAUGAUGCAACUGUUGAAAACAGUUUGUUUUUUCUUAAAAGACGCGGAAGAAUUGAAAACAGGAACUGAAACCACACUCGUGUUCACUUUGCUAGUAGCGUUAUUCAUAACAGUCAAAAUGUGGAAGCAACCAAGUGUUCCUAAACAGGUGAACAGACAAACAAAACUCAGUCUAUCCGUACAGAGAAAUGCGAUUCAGGAAUGAGAGCCCGACGCAUGGGUGAACCUUGGGCACAUCACGCUGAGUGACAUGAACCUGACACAGAAGGACACGUACUGUAUGAAUCCACUUCUAUGAAAUAAUUAGAACAGGCAAAUCCGUAGAGACUGAAAGUAGAUGAGACACGUGACCAGAGGCUGGGGGGACGGAGGAAUGCAGAGUUGCUGUUUAAUGGGGACGGAGUUUCUGUCUGACGGAUAGAAAGGAUUUUGGAAAUAGUGGUGAUGGUUACACAAUAUUGUGCAUGUAACUAACAUCAUUGAACUGCACACUUAAAAAUGAUUAAAACAAAAAGAGUUCUGUUACGUCUGAUCCUUUGCCACGAUUUUUAAAUAGCGCCUGCCCCGUGGUCAGUGCCUCCUGUGUUGGCCGCAAUGCUGUGCUCCUCACAGCUGGCGCUGACCGCUAUUUCCUGCUCUAGGGCGGUAGGCGGCAUCUGAGAGCAUGAACAAAAUGCCCUACCCAGAAGGAGCUACGUCUUUGUUGGGAGACAGAAAAUAAACAGGAUACAUAAAUAAACAACACAUGGAUUAAACAGUGCCAAGGGCGGGGCGCGGUGGCUCAUAUCUGUGAUCCCAGCACUUUGGGAGGCAGAGGCGGGCGGAUCACUUGAGGUCAGGAGUUCGAGAUCAGCCUGGCCAACAUGGUGAAACCCCGUCUCUACUAAAAAUACAAAAAUUAGCCAGGCGUGGUGGCGGGCAUCUGUAAUCCCAGCUACUCGUGAGGCUGAGGCAAGAAAAUAGUUUGAACCCAGGAGGCAGAGAUUGCAGUGAGCAGAGAUCACGCCACUGCACUCCAGCCUGUGUGACAGAGCGAGACUGCGUCUCAAAAAACAAAAACAAAAAACAAACAAAAACAGUGCCAAGGACAGAGCAGAGCGGAGAGAGGAGAAUAAACGAGGGGGCAGGUCCGCGGUGGGGACGCAGUCAGGUGCAGGGCAGGGCCGUGGUCUGGCAGGAGCUGGCCCACUCAGGACACAGGAGGCCUGGGUGGCUGGGAGAGCCAGGGGGGCCGAGGAGCGGGCAAGGCUCCCUGGGCUGCUGUGGGGCUGGGGAGGGUGUGAGGGAGGGAGACGUCCGGCUCUCCUGAGGGGAAGGGAAUCAGAGAGGGGCCACGCUCUGCACAUGCGUAAAAAGGGUGGAUCCCAUGUGGCGUGUGAGAUGAGAAGGGCUGAGGCAAGAGGAGGGAUGGAAGUGGGGAACUAGAGCGAGGAACAGGGUUUGCAGGUAACGCCCAAGGCCCAGGUAUCCUAGUUUGAGAAGCCUAUUUACCAGGGAGCUGGGAUGGCCGGGACCAACCCGGGCAGCAGCCGUGCAGCCCCUCCUAGUCACCACCCCCAGCCCAAGGAGGGACAGGUGAGGACUUCAAAGGGCCAAGCCCUCCAGCGUCCUCAUCAGAAGCUCAGGUGAGGGCACACAACGUGAAUUUACCGUUGCACAGUGCAAGCUCCAGCAAGUGAGGCUCAGCAGUGCCCUUGCAGAAGGAAGUGUUUUCCCCCAGCCUUGUCCCCG
rnacentral:lncRNA from 10 species